rnacentral:rRNA from 1 species
CAGUAGCCGCGGUAAUACGUAGGUGGCGAGCGUUGUCCGGAAUCAUUGGGCGUAAAGGGAGCGCAGGCGGGCAUGUAAGUCUUUCUUAAAAGUUCGGGGCUCAACCCCGUGAUGGGAAAGAAACUACAUGUCUUGAGUACAGGAGAGGAAAGCGGAAUUCCCAGUGUAGCGGUGAAAUGCGUAGAUAUUGGGAGGAACACCAGUGGCGAAGGCGGCUUUCUGGACGAAAACUGACGCUGAGGCGCGAAAGCCAGGGGAGCGAACGGGAUUAGAUACCCCAGUAGUCCCUGUCUCUUAUACA